AAAAAUGCAGAGCCCUUGAAGGAGAGAGAAGGACCGAUCAACACGGAUUAGCCAGGUUGCCUGAAUCCUCCUGAGAUGGGGUCUCAUUGCUCCCAGGAACCCAGGGAGGAGGGACGGGGAAGAGCAGACAAGGCGUGCCCCUGCUCAGCUGUCCCCUCAUCCUGGGAGCUAUGCCCAACGGGGCUCUCGCCUCGGGAGCACACACCGGGAGGAGAGGGCCGGAGGGACCGCCAGAGUCACAGUAUGGAUGCCAUAGCUCCAGGAACCACAUUUCCAUUCAAGUCUAAUUUGCAGGACUCAGGCAACGAACCUAAGAGGGUAGAGGAAGAAGGGUCCCCCCCACCCAACAAUACUCCUCCAUUUGAGAGGUCAAGUCGAAUUCUCCUCCCUUUGAGUGUGGGCUGGACUUUCUGACUCGCUAUUAAGAAAUAGAGCAAAGUAGAAGUGACAAUGUGUGAACUUGGAGACUAGGUUAUAAAAGGCGUUGCAAAGUCCUCCUCUUUCUUUCUGGGGAAAGUUAUGCCAUGUUGUAAGGACACACAGAUAUCCACGUGAUGAGGAGCUGAGGCCUGCUACCAAAAGCCGUGUGAACGAGCCACCUUGUAGGUCCCCAGCCCUAGUAAAGCCUUCACAUGCUGUCAGCCUCUGCCAACAUCUCGGCUGCAGCUACUGAGAGACUUUGAACCAGAACCACCAGCUCGGCUGCUCUGGAACUCCUGACCCACAGAAACUGUGAGAUAAUAAAGACUCGUUGUUUUAGACUACUAAAGUUUUGGAGUAAUUCAUUACACAACAGCAGAUGACUGAUACGAUGAGGAAAUGAGCAUUUCAAAGGGAGAGGGAUCAAGCAUGUCCGUGCUGCUGAGAAGUCCAGCUGGAUUCAGCAGCUUGUGCCCGUGGUUACCCUCUGGUGGGACUGAGUCCUGCUGGCUGUCCCUGAGGUGAGGAGUCUAAGCGUCUAUAGGAGUCCAGGCCAGGAUGAGCACACACAGUUGCAGGAAACGAGCAGUCAUUUGCUGUCUCACUUCUGUGAUGCUGGAGGGAAAGAAAAGAAAGAAGCGUCUGGGGCUGGCCUUGAUCAGUCCUCACUUAGGAGACAGUUGUGGCCCGUUGCAAGGUGAAUCUGGAAAAGCCUGACUUUUAAAACAGGCACCAACGCACAAGUCUGCUCUGUGCCUUUGGCCAGGAGGCUUAUGGAGUAAAAUCAAAUAAGUGAAUUUUCUCUGUUCCCUCUUGGGAUUCCUCUGGGUAAAGUCAAGACAUCUGUUGAUACUUUAUUAUUUUCAGUAAAGGACCCAAACUGACUCGUGUGUUAGUCGGCCAUCACCUGACCGAGCAGCUCUCCAGGGGGAGAUGUCCCAGGAGUCUGACUUCAGUUUCACCUCUCACCUGGAACUGUCUCGGAGAAGCACCACGGAACUCCGUGCCAGAUGGGCUGAGCCCUUCUCGCCUGCUUACUUUUUGACAGAGAACAGCCAGUUUGGGGGCAGAGUUGGGACAGAAGUAACACUGUGUGACUUCCAAGGCUCAGUCGCCAGCGCAUGCGUCUGUGAAGACUUCCGCUACCGUGUAAGCAGUCUGAUUAUCCUAAGGCCACCGUGCUAGGGGCCACCUGAAACCACCCCAGGAAGAGAGGCCCUGUGACCGCAUGGAGCAAGUGAGACCAGAUGCCCCGCUGUUCCAGCUCUCGCCAGUUGACGGCAGCUAUAAGAGACCCCAGGCCACAAGUGCCCAGCCCCCUCUCCCCAAACUCCUGACCCACAGAAACAGGGAGAGCUAGGAAAACAACCGCUGCUGUUUGAAGUCAGUAAAUUUAGGGGUGAUUUGUUCUGCAGCAACAACAGCCAGAACAUGAGUUUAGAAUCCUUCCUUAGGUCGGUCUGCGCCCCGCAUGGUUCUCAGUCUGCGCUGGUCUCCUUCUCCUCUUACCUGCUCGAGACUUUGCCCCCAGAAUCCUCUGAGCAGGAUCGUGAAAGUUCCUUUUGGUGUGUAAAUUGCCUCGAUCCCCUUCCUUUGUCUUGAGAUUUAGGAGAGCUUGGCUGGAAUUGGGAUUAUCCUCAACGGCUCUCCUGGUCAUGAGUCACUUGUGUUUUUGCUGGGUAACUGAGAGAUGAGAAGCCUACACGUAAAAGUUAUGCUAGAUAUAGGAGAAAAAAUAGAAAACACAAUAUAGACGUCAAGGAAUUCACAAUCUAUCUAGCGUUUUUUAAAAAAGUAAAACGAUGAAUGCCCU
rnacentral:lncRNA from 1 species